AAUUUGCUACCAAGGAGUGUGGUGGAGUCUCCUUCUUUGGAGGUCUUUAAGCAGAGGCUUGACAGGCAUAUGUCAAGAAUGCUUUGAUGGUGUUUCCUGCUUGGCAGGGGGCUGGACUGGAUGGCCCUUGUGGUCUCUUCCAACUCUAUGAUUCUAUGAAACACCUGGAUAUGGCUUCAAAGUUCUAUUAUUCCCUCCUUCAGAGUUGCACAGCUAGCCUCUGUGGACCUCACAUGUGAGCAGUUAAACGUGCAGGGAAAUAAGAGGAAACAGCACCCCAAGCUUGAGAUGUCCUGCCUGCUGCUGAUUCAGAAGUGGUGUGGCAGCCUGCCUGGUCCACCUGUUUAUUUCUCCCUUCUUUAUUCUCCCUCCUGAUGCUUGUGAGAUGAACUCCCAACAACAGAGCAAAGCAAUCUCAGCCAUUUAGCUCGCUGUCAGGAGAAGUUCAAGGAUUAUUCAUCUGCCCGCUUUUAACAACGUGGUCAGAAAUCAUAAAGGCACCACGAGAGUCGGCGAACACUUCAAAGCUGUGACUCAGCUGCUCCUGAAUGAACUCACAUUUUGAAUGUUUUCUGAGACGUCCUGGACCUCAAAUCUCAACAAGCUUGGAUGCAUUUACAAGAUCACCAUGCCAUAAAACCAAACACACAGUAGGAGCUCUGCAGACGAGCCUGGGAAAGAUGCUGCUUGGACCCUGGAGAGAUGCUGCCGGUCAGUGUCACCAAUACUGAGCUAGAUGGACCAUGAUGUAAAUAUCGCUGAGAUCAAUGGGACUCACUGCCAGUGGUCUGGACGGAGAAGCUAAUGAAUGAAACACAAAAGGCAAAAGGGACAGAAGACACAGAUGAACUGGAACAUCUUGGUGUCUUCAUUCAUUAUUAUCAUCAAGCAUGAGUGAUGAAAAGCAGGCGCUGGAUCUUAGCCCAGAAGCAAUGUGCACCUGUUCUUUCCUUGGAUUCAUGUUCCACCUGCUUUCAAGUCUGUUCCAUUUUUGGUUUGAAUUCACCGUUAAUCAGAUAUUAUCAGCACUCAAUAGGCAUUUCAACCAAGAAUGAAAACAUACGAAUGAGAAAGGAAAAUAGAUAAUUGGCUGAUCUGGAGUGGCAGCGGGACCACCAUUCAAAAGAUCUAGUUUGGCUUCAGCUUAGUACAACAUUUUGUCAGGGGUUCCCGGUGUGAUGUCCACGAAUCUGGCUCCCUGCCUUUUCGUCUCACUGCAUGUACCCACCGUUUCAAAGACAGACCAAGACUGGGAGUGAAUGCUCCUUGGCAGAUGGGAUGUGGAUGAAAGAAAGCAGAUAGGAGUUAGCCUUCAAUCACUACUUCUCCACUCCAUUCCAGUUCUGGAAUGAGUUUCAUUUAUAAAAACAGUGUCAAAGGGGCUCAAUGCCAUGUGUUUGAAUGUGUGUUGGAGACUGGAGGAGUUCUGUAUUAUUUCGGCAUAUUUACAAACAUACAAGUUGAACAUCCAUGGAGGUAGAUGGCACGGCCCACCCAUCCAGCCUAUGCCAACCUGAUGUUUGAGGCCAGAUGUUUUGGGGUUCAACGGCCACCACCCUCAGCCAGUAGAGAUGGGGCUGAUGGGGGUUUGCCCCCCAAAGCACCUGAUAGGCACCAGGCAAGCGGAAGCUGGUUCAAUCACUCCAAAAGCAACUCCGCUGCCCCACAACCAAUCUCCAAAGAGAGGCAGCUCCCACCCAAGGUGCCUUCUGAAUCCAGACGCUUCUUUGUUCUCUAUCUCCAGGCCAAUGAGUAAAAGUCUGAAAUUUCUCAUCUUGUGCUCCUCUUUACAGCCUAGGUUGUUCUUUGCUAGGAGGAGUGAGAAAAGGCUUGCUCCCUGUUGAGACUUCUGCAUAUUUCCUAGCCAUUCAAAAAGCACCUAAUGGACAUUUAGCCAGCAGCUCCCUAACAUAAAGUAGAGGUGUCCAGGGCUGGUUGAUUCCCUUGACUUGUAACAUGCUUCCUGCAGUCUUUCCAGUCCCAUUAAUCCUUUAAUUUCCACUCCCCACCCCGAACUUACAGAGGUAUCAUUAUUAAUGAGAACCUGAGUUCGAGUUCCAGGGCAAGGAUCAUAGUAAAAAAAACAAAAAAACAAACAAAACAAAAACCAUGAACAGUAAACACCACAUUAUGAGGCUACCACUUUCAAACUUCGACAUUCUUACUAUUAACAGCUGCAGUUUUGCUGCCUCCCUGACUUUAUAUGCUUCAUCCUGGUCACAGAUUUCCCCAUUGCUGCGUUCCAUCACAACACAGCAUCUGCAGACAGGGCCACACAGAGUGGGCAGGCAGUGUGGUUACUUAACCUUGUAGAAACCUGAAGGAGAGAUAACUUGUGAGUUGUGACCUAAGGAGGCUCAUUAGAAGAUGGCCGUUUGUGUCCUUGGAUGUGAGCAACAGAUUCAUCAGUGAUAAUUUCCGGAAUAAAAAUCCAGGAAUGGGCCAGAUAAAUGAUUGGACUCCUGUCAUGCAUUUGUAGUAUUACGGGGUAUAUUCCCCUUGAACAAAGGCACACCUGUUCUGCAAGUGUUAAGACAGAGGAACAGAUGGGCGGUUUUCAGUUCUAAUGAGGGAAGCUGGAAAAAUGGAGGCAGGUUGUUGUGCCUCAAACUGACAGGUGUAAAAUAUAAGGACUUCCACCCUGCAUGCAUGCAUCCAUUUAAAAUAAUUUCUGCCCCACUCUUCCGGGCUAAGGAGGUGUGAGUGGCAGACAGUGGAAGAUUAAGAACAGCAUGAAAUAUAAAUAAAAUAUAGUAAACAGUAAAGUCAGUGGCAUUUCACCUUCUUGGUGUGCAAUCAAGAUCGGAUCCACAUCACUACUUGGUGAUUCAAAGAUAGUCAUUUGCCUCCCUUCAAUUGUAUCAAAUGUCCUGUUACAGUUCUCAAACUAGCUUCCUAUCGGAUAAGAUGGUGGGCAGAGAAGCAACUGGAAUAGCAAGACUUACCUGUCAUACACUCCAGUCAUGCUUUCCCUCCCCAUCCAGCUACAAAGCCAAGAGAGGAGGGGGAAGAGUGAACAGGGAGCUAGAAACAUCCAAGGCAUGAUGGAUCCUGGGUUGUCAGCACGGCUCACUGAAAACCAAGGGACAAUGGAGUGGUCCAGAUUCCUGCACCUGCCCCCUCAGUCUGCGUGAGGAUGCACUUUGAGGUUUUCCGAUUGUCGUUACGUUGCACGUUCUUUGUUUGUGCCAGACACUAGCCGAUCCCAGCAGGGGACGAUCAAUCGCAGUGGGGAAAGGGAGUCAUGGGUAGGAUCUUCAUACACUAUGAGAAGUGAUGGAGGAUGUUGGGCAUGGAGAAAUGGACCCCAUCUGACUCCUCACCAAGGAAAGACCGCCACUGAGAAACAGGAGCACCUGCUUGCCACAGAACAGCAGUUGCAGCAACUUGCAAGGCAAAGAGUUGGGUGGUGAGGGCAUCCCCUUCACCACCUGCUUCCAUCAACUGCAUCUUCUGUCAGGUGACAGGAAUGCAGCAAGAGGCAUCUCACGAGGCCAGAAGCCUGUUCUUGGGGAGUCAAUGAGCUGCCUGAAAAGUCAUUUUUACACACACACACUCUGCGGGAUUUACGUAUAAGCUAGACAAGCUAUAGUUUAGGGCCCCACUCUCUUUGGGGCCUCAAAAAAUUUAAGGGAAAAAACACCUGGAUGUACAUUUCCAAAAUAUAAUACAAUUACUUUGAUAAAAUGCAUAUUUUGUUCUGUGUGACUUUAGAUACCUAUCAGGUCCAUAAAUGACCAUAUAGCAUAUAUUCAACACGAAAAACAGCGACAAUUUGUUGUUGACAAAGGACAGCUGGACAUAUAAAGGGCCCCGUUACCUUCAGUAGCUUAGGGCCUCAUCAAACCAUCAAGC